UUUGGCGUUAGGGUUAAAAUCACUGUCCAAAACCUUUGUAGGAACUCUUUUCCAACCUUUUGGAGUUAGUUAGACCAAAAAAAAAAGAAAAAUGAAAAAAAAAUAUUUGGGGUGUUCAGGCUUCCUAAAAGUAAUACCCGGGUAUUAGGUUAUGGGGCUAUGGUAAGGUUUAAGGUUUUUGGCGUUAGGGUUAAAAUCACUGUCCAAAACCUUUGUAGGAACUCUUUUCCAACCUUUUGGAGUUGGUUAGACCAAAAAAGAAUGAAAAAUGAAAAAAAAAAUAUUUGGGGUGUUCGGGCUUCCUGAAGGUAAUACCUGGGAAUUAGGUUAUGGGGCUAUGGUAAGUUUUAAGGUUUUUGGCGUUAGGGUUAAUAUCACUGUCCAAAACCUUUGUAGGAACUCUUUUCCAACCUUUUGGAGUUGGUUACACCAACAAAAAUGUAAAAUGAAGAAAAAAAUAUUUGGGGUGUUCGGGCUUCCUGAAGGUAGCCCGAAGGUAGAUUUUAAGGCUAGGGUAAGGUUUAAGGUUUUUGGCGUUAGGGUUAAAAUCACUGUCCAAAACCUUUGUAGGAACUCUUUUCCAACCUUUUGGAGUUAGUUAGACCAAAAAAAUAUGAAAAAAGAAAAAAAUAUUAUUGGGGGUUUCCGGGCUCCCUGAAAGUAAUACCCGGGUAUUAGGUUUUGGGACUAGGGAAAGGUUUAAGGUUUUUGGCGUUAGGGUUAAAAUCACUGUCCAAAACCUUUGUAGGAACUCUUUUCCAACCUUUUGGAGUUAGUUAGACAAAAAAAAAUAAAAAAUGAAAAAGAAAUAUUUGGGGUGUUCAGGCUUCCUUAAUGUAAUACCCGGGUAUUAGAUUUUAAUGCCAGGGUAAGGUUUAAAUUUUUAGGGGUUAGGGUUAAAAUCACUGUCCAAAACCUUUGUAGGAACUCUUUUCCAACCUUUUGGAGUUGGUUACACCAACAAAAAUGUAAAAUGAAAAACAAAUAUUUGGGGUGUUCGGGCUUCCUGAAGGUAAUACCCGGGAAUUAGGUUAUGGGGCUAGGGUAAGGUUUAAGGUUUUUGGCGUUAGGGUUAAAAUCACUGUCCAAAACCUUUGUAGGAACUCUUUUCCAACCUUUUGGAGUUAGUUAGACCAAAAAAAAAUGAAAAAUUAAAAAACAAUAUUUGGGGUUUUCGGGGUUCCUGAAUGUAAUACCCGGGUAUUAGAUUUUGAGGCUAGGGUAAGGUUUAAGUUUUUUGGCGUUAGGGUUAAAAUCACUGUCCAAAACCUUUGUAGGAACUCUUUUCCAACCUUUUGGAGUUGGUUACACCAAAAAAAUGUAAAAUGAAAAAAAAAUAUUUUGGGGUGUUCAGGCUUCCUGAAGGUAAUACCCGGGUAUUAGAUUUCAAGGCUAGGGUAAGGUUUAAGGUUUUUGGCGUUAGGGUUAAAAUCACUGUCCAAAACCUUUGUAGGAACUCUUUUCCAACCUUUUGGAGUUAGUUAGACCAAAAAAAAAAGAAAAAUGAAAAAAAAAAUAUUUGGGGUGUUCAGGCUUCCUAAAAGUAAUACCUGGGCAUUAGGUUAUGGGGCUAUGGUAAGGUUUAAGGUUUUUGGCGUUAGGGUUAAAAUCACUGUCCAAAACCUUUGUAGGAACUCUUUUCCAACCUUUUGGAGUUAGUUAAAAAAAAUGAAAAAUGAAAAAAAAAUAUUUGGGGUGUUCUGGCUUCCUGAAUGUAAUACCCGGGUAUUAGAUUUUAAGGCUAGGGUAAGGUUUAAGUUUUUUGGCGUUAGGGUUAAAAUCACUGUCCAAAACCUUUGUAGGAACUCUUUUCCAACCUUUUGGAGUUAGUUAGACCAAAAAAAGAAUGAAAAAUGAAAAAAAAAUAUUUGGGGUUUCCGGGCUUCCUGAAUGUAAUACCCGGGUAUUAGGUUUUUUGGCUAGGGUAAGGUUUAAGGUUUUUGGCGUUAGGGUUAAAAUCACUGUCCAAAACCUUUGUAGGAACUCUUUUCCAACCUUUUGGAGUUAGUUUGACC